AUCUGUUAAUCUGCCCUAUUCCCACAGUCAUUGCUAGCGACAGUUGUGAACACUGACAAAACGCAAUGCAGACAUUUCCUUUUGUCAAGUUGUGUUAACCUGGGGUAUGUCUAUAAGGCAAAGUAGUCACUAUUGUGCCUUAUGAUAACUUUUGACUAUGUUGGAAUUUUCAAGAAAUUCCACUGCAGUCAACAUCAGUAAUUCCGAAAGAUCAGAUCUGUCUUUAUGAAAUACUCAUAAUCAACAGCACCAUGACAUUUUAUCUUCCUUUCUCUGGCCUAACUGUUAGCCCAGAAGGUACUGGGGUGUGGAAUCAUUGAUGGUCCUCAAUGAGUAAUGCAGAGCAGAACCACGUGAGAAGGAAGGAGAAGAUCUGUCCCAUUAGUUCCUGCACUUUAUGACUUGCAAAUUAAAGUUAUCACCAAAAUCUCUUUUCCAGUUAAAGACAGAAAAUGUCUAUAAAGAAAUUUCCCAUGGACAUUGAAAGAGUGUAUAGGCAGCCUCGAAUGAAGUCUCAACCUCGAGGUAACUAGAAUUAAUAGCAUGAUAUAGGUGCUUAUCAGUAACUGUUCUCAAUUCCGGGGUCUGUUCAGUAAAUUACACUUUUUUGCCAACAAGUUGUUCAUUUAUUUGUGUCCUACUCACAUUACUGUAAACAUAUCUAAAAUGUCUAAUAUUACUCUUGAAUGUAACUCCAGAAUCAAAUUCUAAUGGAAGUGAGAGUGAUUUAAACUUAGUGGGAACUGAAAUCAGCAGAUAGACAACUAGCUAGGCUCAAAGCAAGUUCUUUAACCACUUUUUUUUUUUUAACUGAGUUACUGAACAAACACCUUAGAAGUAAAAAGUUUUGCAAACGCACCAAUAUUAUUCUUUUGAUUUUGGCUGCCUUGAGUCUAUGGUUUUAUUGGAGACUACAUUGAUCAUUUUUCCAUGUCUCGGUAAAACCUUCUAUCACUUUCAAGCAGAGGAUUAUUCAAAAUAUAAAAAAGAAUCAUUGUGAAAAGAUGAAAAAAAUUGCAUCUGUUCCGUCUCCGAAUUCUGAUUCCAUUGACGCAUGCUGUCUACAUAAAUCUAUGGUUGUCAGAUUGUGACUUUCCAGCUGUUGUUGAAUUAUAACUCACAGUAGUACCAAAGCUGAUGGGGAUAUUUUUUCAAUUAAAGAUUGAGAGACCUAAUGUGUCUAACCUUGUUGUAAAUCAUAAACUGGCCGGUUUCACUUUAUUUCUACUUUUGCUGGCUUGAGUAUUAUGACUGUAUUUGUUAUUAAAGACAAAGGCAAAAGUGUUGGAAGUGUUAAAAAAAAAAUCCACGUCCGACUAAUGUAUCAAUAUGUUAGAUCAAAAAAGUUGUUUCUUACAAAGACUGACUGUAAGGCCAUCAAAUCGUGUAAGGGCAUGACCACAGCAUGAGUUAUUCACAAUAAAAAUUACAAUGAUAAUAAUUUA